rnacentral:rRNA from 1 species
UACGAAGGGGGCUAGCGUUGUUCGGAAUUACUGGGCGUAAAGCGUGCGCAGGCGGCUGCUCAAGUCAGGGGUGAAAGCCCAGAGCUCAACUCUGGAAUUGCCUUUGAGACUGAGUGGCUUGAGUACGGGAGAGGUGAGUGGAAUUCCCAGUGUAGAGGUGAAAUUCGUAGAUAUUCGCAAGAACACCAGUGGCGAAGGCGGCUCACUGGCCCGAUACUGACGCUGAGGCACGAAAGCGUGGGGAGCAAACAGGG